GGCAGAUACGGAGGUCCACAGACAGCAGCGGCGUGUAGAGUGCAGCAUGCAGACUGGCCAUUGACGCUGCUGUUGGAUUGAACACACAUGCACAGACACACACACACACAGACACACACACGCCUGAGGAGUGUAUGAGACAUGCCCAGGCUGCUGUCCAUGGACACACACACACUGGCAGGGCACCAGAGAGGAAAUACAGCAGAACCCCGAGCUUGAGGAGCUAUGGAGAGCAGCAUGUUCUUUGGUAACACAUGUCAAAAUGGCCUCAUGCCUGCCCUGAUGCGUCCCACCCUGCCUGCCAUCCAGACCUCACUGGGCAUGAAGCAGUUUCUCCCGUUUCCGUUGGAUACGGCCUCAGCGGUCAGCCUCUUCCCAGGAUUCAACACUAUGGAUCCGGUGCAGAAGGCCGUCCUCCAUCACACCCUCGGGCUCCCUCCCACCGCCAAGAG